UACAGAGGGUGCGAGCGUUGUCCGGAAUCACUGGGCGUAAAGAGCUCGUAGGCGGUCUGUCGCGUCUGCUGUGAAAACUCAGGGCUUAACCCUGAGCUUGCAGUGGGUACGGGCAGACUAGAGUGCGGUAGGGGAGACUGGAAUUCCUGGUGUAGCGGUGAAAUGCGCAGAUAUCAGGAGGAACACCGGUGGCGAAGGCGGGUCUCUGGGCCGAUACUGACGCUGAGGAGCGAAAGCGUGGGGAGCGAACAGG
rnacentral:rRNA from 1 species